UUUCUUGAAGAAACCCUACCUCAUAACCCUCUCCUCCCUCGUUCUUCAAACUCCGACGACUGGAUUGGCUGCCAGUCGGCCUGUAUCUCCGAUGGGUUACCCACAACAUCCCCAAAUCCUCCUUCUUGUUGUACCGUUUCAACCACAACCAACUGAUCUAGAGGAUAAUUGACAAAGAGAGUGAGAUCGGGAGAAAGGAGAGAGCCGCCGCACGCGGCGGCGGCGUCGGCGAUGUGGUUUCACAGCUGUGACGAAGAGAAGCAGGAGAGCUGCUGAAGAUGAUCAAUGAUGUUAAUGGCGAUUGACGGCGUUGAAGACGGAGGUGGUUGACGGAACCAGAUUGAUUCUAUUGAAUGUAGUUAUGUAGGAUUUAUGUUGAUUGCAAUCGUUAAUGGUGAUGGAUGGGAGAACAGGUGGGUUAAAUCUGACUGGAAGAAAGAUGAGAACAUGGCAGGUCGUUGGCGGUGACGGUGGAGGAGGGUGAUGGUGGGUGGAGGUUGAAGAUGAAGUGUGGUGGUGGGGUUUUUCUCUAAAAAUGAAGAAGAUGCUCGGAUAGUCCCUGUGGUUUGGCCUUUUAAAGGAAAGGGUAAAUUGGUCAUUUCACACCCACUUAACAGAGAAAACAAACUGAAGUUAGACCCAGGGACUAUCCGGGAACAAAAAAUGAAAAGUUGGGGACUAUUCAGGUAGUUUUAGAAAGUUGGGGACUAUAGGUGAAAAAAUGCGAAACCACAGGGACUAUCCGGGCAUUUUUCUCUAAAAAAAUAUUUAAACCAUAUAAAACUUGAAAUUUUUAUUGUUGGGGUUGAGUCCUUUAUUUUCAUUAAAAUAGUAUAAUACUUGACCUUAUUCUUUAUAAUAUUCACGUGGGUUUGCUUUCUAGUAAAAUUCUUAACAAAAGUUCAAUAAAAAAUAAUUGGUCAAUUUAAAAGUUUUGGUUUAGCGGUCAACCGACCGAACCGGUUAAAAAAUAUUGAGUAAAUUACAAGUUUUGACUUUUAUGUUUGUAUCAAAUUGCAGGCGGUGUCCUUUGCCUUUAAAUUUGACCAGUUUUGUCCUUAACGUUUCAAAAUCUUGCAUGUUAUGUUCUUUAACCCUAACUCAGUCAGAUUUUUUUGUUAAAUAUGGUCAUGUGACUUGCACAUGAUGGCAUCUUUGUCAUUUUAUAUUUCAGGGGCUAUUUUGCAUUGAAUUAUUAUGGUGUAAAUAAUUUGCCUGGUCGUAUACAAUGGAUACGAAUAAUUUAUACGGGCCGUGUACAGUUAUACGGCCCGUAUGAAAAGAAAUUAGAUUUUACCCAAAGUAUUUAAUGGAUUUCAGGUGUCAAUCACACGAGACAUUUUACAGUCGUUAGGUGGUCAAAGCUUUUUAAAAGUAGAAAAAAAUAAAACUUUAACAAGUAACAA
rnacentral:lncRNA from 1 species